CGAAUGCUGACAUAAGUAACGAUAAAGCGGGUGAAAAGCCCGCUCGCCGGAAGACCAAGGGUUCCUGUCCAACGUUAAUCGGGGCAGGGUGAGUCGACCCCUAAGGCGAGGCCGAAAGGCGUAGUCGAUGGGAAACAGGUUAAUAUUCCUGUACUUGGUGUUACUGCGAAGGGGGGACGGAGAAGGCUAUGUUGGCCGGGCGACGGUUGUCCCGGUUUAAGCGUGUAGGCUGGUUUUCCAGGCAAAUCCGGAAAAUCAAGGCUGAGGCGUGAUGACGAGGCACUACGGUGCUGAAGCAACAAAUGCCCUGCUUCCAGGAAAAGCCUCUAAGCAUCAGGUAACAUCAAAUCGUACCCCAAACCGACACAGGUGGUCAGGUAGAGAAUACCAAGGCGCUUGAGAGAACUCGGGUGAAGGAACUAGGCAAAAUGGUGCCGUAACUUCGGGAGAAGGCACGCUGAUAUGUAGGUGAAGUCCCUCGCGGAUGGAGCUGAAAUCAGUCGAAGAUACCAGCUGGCUGCAACUGUUUAUUAAAAACACAGCACUGUGCAAACACGAAAGUGGACGUAUACGGUGUGACGCCUGCCCGGUGCCGGAAGGUUAAUUGAUGGGGUUAGCGCAAGCGAAGCUCUUGAUCGAAGCCCCGGUAAACGGCGGCCGUAACUAUAACGGUCCUAAGGUAGCGAAAUUCCUUGUCGGGUAAGUUCCGACCUGCACGAAUGGCGUAAUGAUGGCCAGGCUGUCUCCACCCGAGACUCAGUGAAAUUGAACUCGCUGUGAAGAUGCAGUGUACCCGCGGCAAGACGGAAAGACCCCGUGAACCUUUACUAUAGCUUGACACUGAACAUUGAGCCUUGAUGUGUAGGAUAGGUGGGAGGCUUUGAAGUGUGGACGCCAGUCUGCAUGGAGCCGACCUUGAAAUACCACCCUUUAAUGUUUGAUGUUCUAACGUGGACCCGUAAUCCGGGUUGCGGACAGUGUCUGGUGGGUAGUUUGACUGGGGCGGUCUCCUCCUAAAGAGUAACGGAGGAGCACGAAGGUUGGCUAAUCCUGGUCGGACAUCAGGAGGUUAGUGCAAUGGCAUAAGCCAGCUUGACUGCGAGCGUGACGGCGCGAGCAGGUGCGAAAGCAGGUCAUAGUGAUCCGGUGGUUCUGAAUGGAAGGGCCAUCGCUCAACGGAUAAAAGGUACUCCGGGGAUAACAGGCUGAUACCGCCCAAGAGUUCAUAUCGACGGCGGUGUUUGGCACCUCGAUGUCGGCUCAUCACAUCCUGGGGCUGAAGUAGGUCCCAAGGGUAUGGCUGUUCGCCAUUUAAAGUGGUACGCGAGCUGGGUUUAGAACGUCGUGAGACAGUUCGGUCCCUAUCUGCCGUGGGCGCUGGAGAACUGAGGGGGGCUGCUCCUAGUACGAGAGGACCGGAGUGGACGCAUCACUGGUGUUCGGGUUGUCAUGCCAAUGGCACUGCCCGGUAGCUAAAUGCGGAAGAGAUAAGUGCUGAAAGCAUCUAAGCACGAAACUUGCCCCGAGAUGAGUUCUCCCUGACUCCUUGAGAGUCCUGAAGGAACGUUGAAGACGACGACGUUGAUAGGCCGGGUGUGUAAGCGCAGCGAUGCGUUGAGCUAACCGGUACUAAUGAACCGUGAGGCUUAACCUUACAACGCCGAAGCUGUU
rnacentral:rRNA from 1 species